CCCUUAGAUGUUCUGGGCCGCACGCGCGCUACACUGACGAUGGCAACGAGUUUUUCCUUCGCCGAAAGGUGUGGGAAAUCUUUUGAAACAUCGUCGUGCUGGGGAUAGAUCAUUGCAAUUUUUGAUCUUGAACGAGGAAUUCCUAGUAAGCGCGAGUCAUCAGCUCGCGUUGAUUACGUCCCUGCCCUUUGUACACACCGCCCGUCGCUACUACCGAUUGAAUGGUUUAGUGAGGACUCCUGAUUGGCGCCGCCGCCCCGGCAACGGAGCAGCGGACUGCCGAAAAGUUGUUCAAACUUGAUCAUUUAGAGGAAGUAAAAGUCGUAACA
rnacentral:rRNA from 1 species